GCCUCAGUAGCUUAGCCCGGUAAAGCGUUUCACUCGUAAUGAAAAGAUCGCGGGUUCAAAUCCCGCUUGGGGCU
rnacentral:tRNA from 1 species